rnacentral:rRNA from 1 species
UAAAGCAAAUAAGGGCACAUGGUGGAUGCCUAGGCUCUAAGAGGCGAUGAAGGACGUGAUAAGCUGCGAUAAGCUGCGGGGAUUGGCACAUACGACGUGAUCCGCAGAUUUCCGAAUGGGACAACCCACCGGGCGUAACGGCCCGGUACCAUCACUGCGAUGGAGCGAACGUGGGGAACUGAAACAUCUCAGUACCCACAGGAGAAGAGAACAAUAGUGAUUCCCCUAGUAGUGGCGAUCGAACGGGGACGAGCCCAAACCGUUGAGGUCUAGUGCUUCGGCGGGGUUGUAGGACCACGACAUGGCUACAGGAAGUUAUAGAGAGGAAGUGCGCUGGAAAGCGCCACCGUAGAGGGUGACAGUCCCGUACUUGUAUAGAAGGCCUGGCCUUGUGGUAUCCUGAGUAGUGCGGGACACGUGCAAUCCUGUAUGAAUCCGGGGGGUCCAUCCCCCAAGGCUAAAUACUCCUUAGAGACCGAUAGUGAACAAGUACUGUGAAGGAAAGGUGAAAAGCACCGCGAGAAGCGGAUUGAAAUAGUUCCUGAAACCAUGUGCUUACAAGCGGUCGGAGCCCCCUUAUGUGGGGUGACGGCGUGCCUUUUGCAUAAUGAACCUACGAGUUACUAUACUUAGCGAGGUUAAUCCACAGUGAGUGGAGUAUCCGUAGCGAAAGCGAGUUUUAAAAAGCGAAAUAGUUAGGUGUAGUAGACGCGAAACCAAGUGAUCUACCCUUGUCCAGGCUGAAGUGUUGGUAACACAACAUAGAGGGCCGUACCGUAGAAUGGUGAAAAAUUCUCGGAUGAGGUGAGGGUAGGGGUGAAAGGCUAAUCAAACUUGGAGAUAGCUCGUACUCCCCGAAAUGCAUUUAGGUGCAGCCUUUAGAUUUAACUAUAAGAGGUAGAGCGACUGAUUGGAUGCGAGGGUUUCAUCGCCUAUCAAGUCCAGACAAACUCCGAAUGCUUAUAGGAAUAUCUAAGGAGUGAGGGCAUGGGUGCUAAGGUCCGUGUCCGAGAGGAAAAGAAUCCGGACCAUCCGCUAAGGUCCCGAAAUGACAACUAAGUUGAAGAUAUAACGCGGUCACGAUGCAGCGACAGCUAGGAUGUUGGCUUGGAAGCAGCCAUUCAUUUAAAGAGUGCGUAACAGCUCACUAGUCGAGGAUUGUGGCAUGGAUAAUAAUCGGGCAUAAGUUGUCUACCGACGCGGUGGAAUUGGUGCUGAGAGGCAUUGAUUGGUAGGGGAGCAUUCCGGCAUGGCUGAAGGUUUUCUGUGAAGGAGGCUGGACGUUCCGGAAGAGCAAAUGUAGGUAUAAGUAACGAUAAAGGGGGUGUGAAUCCCCCUCGCCGCAAGACUAAGGUUUCCUCUUCACCGUUCGUCGAGAGAGGGUUAGUCGGGACCUAAGGAGUAUCCGUAGUAGGAGCAUCCGAUGGAAGAAUGGGUUGAUAUUCCCAUACUCGGUGUAUUAUGCAGAAGUGGAGACGGAGUAGUGACAGUCCUGCCUGCUGCCGGAAUAGCAGGUUGAAGGGUGUAGACGUCGAUGUCGGUAGGCAAAUCCGCCGACAGAGUCGAACCUGAUAGUACGAGGACCCUUCGGGCGAAUCGAUAAGGGCGUAAACAGGCUUCCAAGAAAAUCCGCUAUGCGAUUAAUAAUGCAUUGACCCGUACCGCAAACCGACACAGGUAGUUGGGUUGAGUAUACUAAGGNGAGUUGGUCUUCCGGGUCUGAGGGUCGCAGUGAUAUGUGACCGAAGUGGUUCAUGCUUCUGCAUGGGUUGGUUGUUGCUUUGUGCAGUAUUCUCCUAUGUAGCCUGCGUGACUACUUGUUUGUCGCCCUUGUUUAUUUUCUUAUAAAAUACAUACCCUAUUUUACUACACCGGCGCCUAUAGGCUAUAGAGUAGUGUACCAGGUGUUGGGUCAGAUGAAAGAGUGGUAAGCCAGGCUCAUAGCUCAGUUGGUUAGAGCGCUACACUGNAUAAAGGGCAAGGCCGCAGAGAAUAGGCUCAAGCGACUGUUUACCAAAAACACAAGGCUAUGCUAAGUAGAAAUACGCUGUAUAUAGUCUGACACCUGCCCGGUGCCGGAAGGUUAAGAGGAGUGGUCAUCCGUAGGGAGAAGCCAUGAAUUGAAGCCCCGGUAAACGGCGGCCGUAACUAUAACGGUCCUAAGGUAGCGAAAUUCCUUGUCGGGUAAGUUCCGACCUGCACGAAUGGUGUAACGAUUUGAGCACUGUCUCGACCGCGCGCUCGGUGAAAUUGUAGUAUCGGUGAAGAUGCCGGUUACCCGCAAUGGGACGAAAAGACCCCGUGAACCUUUACUAUAGCUUUACAUUGUAUCCGGGUAUGAGAUGUGUAGGAUAGGCUGGAGACUGUGAAUCAGCAUCGCCAGAUGUUGUGGAGUCGUUGUUGAAAUACAGCCCUUUUCCUAUUUGGAUACUAACUCUUUGGUAAGAGGACACUGUAUGGUGGGUAGUUUGACUGGGGUGGUCGCCUCCAAAAGCGUAACGGAGGCUUCUAAAGGUACCCUCAAGCCGUUUGGUAAUCGGCUUUCGAGUGUAAUGGCACAAGGGUGCUUGACUGGGAGACUCACAAGUCGAUCAGGUAGGAAACUAGAGCAUAGUGAUCCGGUGGUUCCGUAUGGUAGGGCCAUCGCUCAAAGGAUAAAAGGUACUCCGGGGAUAACAGGCUGAUCGCUCCCAAGAGCUCAUAUCGACGGAGCGGUUUGGCACCUCGAUGUCGGCUCGUCACAUCCUGGGGCUGGAGAAGGUCCCAAGGGUUGGGCUGUUCGCCCAUUAAAGUGGCACGCGAGCUGGGUUCAGAACGUCGUGAGACAGUUCGGUCUCUAUCUAUUGUGGGCGCAGGAUAUUUGCGAGGGUCUAGCACUAGUACGAGAGGACCGUGCCGGACGUACCUCUGGUUGAUCAGUUGUUUCGCCAGGAGCAUAGCUGAGUAGCUAAGUACGGUUAAUGGAUAAGUGCUGAAAGCAUCUAAGCACGAAGCCCUCCUCCAGAUGAGAUAUCCAUAUUAGGGAGGUUGUAGACGACGACCUUGAUAGGCUGCAGGUGUACGGUCAGUAAUGAUUUUAGCCGAGCAGUACUAAUCCCCCGAAAGCUUUAUCAC